GGGGGAAAAGGGGGUGUAAACCCUAACCACAAAAAAAUCAUCAAUUGAAAAGGAAAUCGCGGGUUGAUUGUGUGCAUGAACCAAGAAUGAUGAUCCCUUAAGCGUUUCUCACAUCAAGAACGUGUCAAGGAGAGGUCAAGCAUAGGAGGAUAGCGGGUCAAGAUAAGGCAAGGUGACAAAUACACUUAUUGGAGUACUCGAGGUAUGGGAUCGUUGGCUUCAUGAAGAAAUGGAGCUGGAUUUGGAUAAGAGUAUUUAAGAAAGCGCUUGGACAAUUCCACGACUACUUUAUAGAAUGCUCUACGAAAUUUUAUUAUAUAGUUUAAUGUUGAAUGGUAUCGCUUGGGUUUUCUCUACAUUUAUUGAAGUGAAGCGGACUUAGU
rnacentral:lncRNA from 1 species